AACAUCAUACUUCACAGGAUCAUUUCUGUAGUAUAUUUUCACAUACUCUCUACUCAAUUGUGUAGUUAAUAGCUAUCGCAACCAUGAUGACCAGACGGGUGCGUUCGGACGACCAUAGCGGCUGGCGGUCAGCAGAAAUCGCUGAGUGGU